rnacentral:rRNA from 1 species
CGGCGUGCUUAACACAUGCAAGUCGAACGAGACGAUUUAGAAGCUUGCUUUUAUUGAGUCGAGUGGCAAACGGGUGAGUAACGCGUAGACAACCUGCCGCAAAGAUGGGGACAACAGUCCGAAAGGACUGCUAAUACCGAAUGUUGUAUCUUCUCCGCAUGGAAGAGAUAUUAAAGAUGGCCUCUACUUGUAAGCUAUCGCUUUGCGAUGGGUCUGCGUCUGAUUAGCUAGUUGGUGGGGCAACGGCCUACCAAGGCGACGAUCAGUAGCCGGUCUGAGAGGAUGAACGGCCACAUUGGAACUGAGACACGGUCCAGACUCCUACGGGAGGCAGCAGUGGGGAAUCUUCCGCAAUGGGCGAAAGCCUGACGGAGCAACGCCGCGUGAGUGAAGAAGGUCUUCGGAUCGUAAAGCUCUGUUGUCGGGGACGAAUGUUGAGACCAAGAACAUAGGUUUCAAAUGACGGUACCUGACGAGGAAGCCACGGCUAACUACGUG